rnacentral:rRNA from 1 species
AGUCUCCUGUGAAAUCAUCCAGCUCAUCCGAUGGAGCGUUCAGGAAAUACUGGCGACCUAGGGACCGGAAGAGGUGAGAGGUACUCCAGGGGUAGGAGUGAAAUCCUGUAAUCCUUGGGGGACCACCUGUGGCGAAGGCGUCUCACUAAAACGGCUCCAACAGUGAGGGACAAAAGCUGGGGGAGCAAACCGGAUUAAAUACCCGGGUAGUCCCAGCUGUAAACAAUGCGGGUUAGGUGUAGCGGUGACCACUAGUCACCGAGGUGCCGAAGAGAAAUCGUGAAACGUGCCGCCUGGGAAGUACAGCCGCAAGGCUGAAACUUAAAGGAAUUGGCGGGGGAGCACCACAACAGGUGGAGCCUGCGGUUUAAUCGGACUCAACGCCGGGAAGCUCACCGGAUAAGACAGCUGAAUGAUAGCCGGGUUGAAGACUCUGCUUGACUAGCUGAGAGGAGGUGCAUGGCCGUCCUCAGUUCGGACUGUGAAGGAUCCUGUUAAGUCAGGCAACAAGCGAGACCCACGUCCAACUGUUGCCACCAUGUCCUCCUGGAUGGUGUGGACACUGUUGGGACCGCCUCUGCUAAAGAGGAGGAAGGAAUGGGCAACGGUAGGUCAGCAUGCCCCGAAUUAUCCGGGCUACACUGCGGGCUACAGUGGUCAGGACAAUGGAGUAUCAACACCGAGAGGUGAAUGCAAUCUCCUGAACCUGUCCUUAGUUCGGAUUGUGGGCUGCAACUCGACCACUUGAAGCUGGAAUCUGUAGUAAUCUCGUCUCAGAAUGGCGCGGUGCAUAUGUCCCUGCUCCUUGCAC